UACGGGGGGGAGCAAGCGUUGUUCGGAUUUACUGGGCGUAAAGGGCGCGUAGGCGGCCUGUGCAAGUCAGUUGUGAAAUCUCCGAGCUUAACUCGGAACGGUCAACUGAUACUGCUCGGCUAGAGUGCGGAAGGGGCAACUGGAAUUCUUGGUGUAGCGGUGAAAUGCGUAGAUAUCAAGAGGAACACCUGCGGCGAAGGCGGGUUGCUGGGCCGACACUGACGCUGAUGCGCGAAAGCCAGGGGAGCGAACGGG
rnacentral:rRNA from 1 species